rnacentral:rRNA from 1 species
UACGGAGGGUGNGAGCGUUAAUCGGAAUUACUGGGCGUAAGGCGCACGCAGGCGGUUUGUUAAGCUAGAUGUGAAAGCCCCGGGCUCAACCUGGGAUGGUCAUUUAGAACUGGCAGACUAGAGUCUUGGAGAGGGGAGUGGAAUUCCAGGUGUAGCGGUGAAAUGCGUAGAUAUCUGGAGGAACAUCAGUGGCGAAGGCGACUCCCUGGCCAAAGACUGACGCUCANGUGCGAAAUGUGGGUAGCGAACAGG